AACUUUCGCCAACGGAUCUCUUGGCUCUCGCAUCGAUGAAGAAUGCAGUGAAAUGCGAUAAGUAAUGUGAAUUGCAGAAUUCAGUGAAUCAUUGAAUCCUUGAACACACCUUGCACCCUUUGGAAUUCCAAAGGGUAUGCUUGUUUGAGUGUCAUUGUACUCUCACACUCUCCGAUCCUCUGGAUUUGGGGAGCAGUGGACUUGGGUGCUUGCUGCUUUCCUUGCAGCUCACCUCAAAUGCAUCAGUGCAUCUCUUGAUUGGACAUAGUACGGCGUGAUAAGUGUCUUCGCCGGCACCUCAUAAGAGGGUGGCUGAUUGGGAGCUCUGUGCUUUCCAACCAUCUUCGGACAAUCUCUGACAACUUGACCUCAAAUCGAGUAGGACUACCUGCUGAACUUAAGCAUAUCAAUAAGCGGAGGC
rnacentral:misc_RNA from 1 species